rnacentral:lncRNA from 10 species
UGGAGUAGAGAAACUACCCAGAACAGAAUACAUGCUAGCUGACCCCAAAAGGAGAGAUCAGGGUGAAACAAGCACCUCCGUUGGAACUGUUCAACUUUCGGCCCUCAUUGAGUUACCCUGUGAGGAACUGAUACAAAAUGCUGAUCUGGCUGCUGUCAAGAGGAUGAAAUAGAUAAAGCAAGACAUAGACAAGUUCAGAGGUCCAGCUACAAUCAACCUUAAAAUCACCAAAUGACAAUAAUCAAACCACAAAAAAGAAGCAGCUGGUGCUUCUGCCUUUUAUGGGAGUUUUUACUUUUACAUUUCUUCCUUCAGUAAUAGGAUUCUAGGAAAAAAUUCACGGCAUGCUCAGAUUUGA